CGCGAAUAGCUCAUUACAACAGCUAUAAUUUACUUGAUCUUGACUUCCUACUUGGAUAACUGUGGUAAUUCUAGAGCUAAUACAUGCACCAAAGCUCCGACCUUACGGGAAGAGCGCAUUUAUUCGAACAAAACCAAGCGGCUUCGGCCGUCCGCAGUUGACUCAGAAUAACUAAGCUGAUCGCAUGGUCUUGAACCGGCGACGUGUCUUUCAAGUAUCUGCCUUAUCAACUUUCGAUGGUAGUGUAUCUGACUACCACGGUGGUGACGGGUAACGGAGGAUAAGGGUUCGACUCCGGAGAAGGGGCCUGAGAAAUGGCCACUACGUCUAAGGAUGGCAGCAGGCGCGCAAAUUACCCACUCUCAGAAUGAGGAGGUAGUGACGAGAAAUAACGAGACCGUUCUCUACGAGGCCGGUCAUCGGAAUGGGUACAAUUUAAACCCUUUAACGAGUAUCUAUGAGAGGGCAAGUCUGGUGCCAGCAGCCGCGGUAAUUCCAGCU
rnacentral:rRNA from 1 species